UAUUAUUUAAAAUGUAAAUUAAAUUAUUAAAGUAGUAAUAGUUAUGUUCUUGAAACUUAAAAAAUUUGGCGGUAUUUUAAUCUUUCCAGAGGAACCUGUUUUGUAAUCGAUAAUCCACGAUGGACCUUACUUAAUUUUGUAAUCAGUUUAUAUACCGUCGUUAUCAGAAUAUUUUAUAAGAAUAAUAAUAUUCAAUAAUUUUAAAGAAAAUAUAUAUCAGAUCAAGGUGUAGCUUAUAAUUAAGUAAUAAUGGGUUACAAUAAAUUUAUUUAAACGGAUAAAAUUAUGAAAAAGUUUUUGAAGGUGGAUUUGGUAGUAAAAUUAUAAAGAUAAAUAAUUUGAUUUUAGCUCUAAAAUAUGUACACAUCGCCCGUCGCUCUUAUUAAUAAGGUAAGAUAAGUCGUAACAUAGUAGAUGUACUGGAAAGUGUAUCUAGAAUGA
rnacentral:rRNA from 1 species